rnacentral:misc_RNA from 1 species
CGCACAUUGCGCCCGCCAGUAUUCUGGCGGGCAUGCCUGUCUGAGCGUCAUUUCAACCCUCAAGCAACUUCUGCUUGGUGUUGGGGAUCGGCGAGUCUUAGGACCAGCCGCCCCCUAAAUCUAUUGGCGAUCUCGCUGUAGCUUCCUAUGCGUAGUAGUAACAUCUCGCAUCUGGAGAGCGGCGCGGUCAUGCCGUAAAACACCCAACUUUUCAGGUUGACCUCAGAUCAGGUAGGAAUACCCGCUGAACUUAA